AAACGGAUGGUGGGAGUAAAUAAUAAGAAAACGGCGUUAAAGCAACAGCGCUAUCAUGAGGAUUGAGUUUUUCAUUAUUUUUUGGCGCUUAAACACCAAAGUGUAUGUGCCUAUGUGUCAUCGCAGAUAUAUUCGGAUUUCUAUCAGAACUGUAGACUUUGUAAACUUGUAAUAAAAUUAUAUAUAGAAAAUUAUAUGUAUGGAAAAGAUCGCGUAUAAAUACAAGCAUUUAGACAGUGUUGUUAGAGGAUUCAUUACGGGCCAUUAAUUUAAA